rnacentral:rRNA from 1 species
CUACGGGGCGCAGCAGUGGGGAAUAUUGCGCAAUGGGCGAAAGCCUGACGCAGCAACGCCGCGUGAGUGAUGAAGGCCUUCGGGUCGUAAAGCUCUGUCGGGAGGGAAGAACACCUUCGGGUCUGACGGUACCUCCCGAGGAAGCACAGGCUAACUCCGUGCCAGCAGCCGCGGUAAUACGGAGUGGUGCAAGCGUUGUUCGGAAUUACUGGGCGUAAAGCGCGCGUAGGCGGCUUGAUAAGUCAGAUGUGAAAUCCCUCGGCUUAACCGAGGAACUGCAUUUGAAACUGUCAGGCUUGAGUACGGGAGGGGGAAGCGGAAUUCCCAGUGUAGAGGUGAAAUUCGUAGAUAUUGGGAGGAACACCAGCGGCGAAGGCGGCUUCCUGGACCGAUACUGACGCUGAGGCGCGAAAGCGUGGGGAGCAAACAGGAUUAGAUACCCGGGUAGUC